UAGCGCGCAGGGAAGGCUGGUCACUCCACCCUAGUCUUAUUCAGCAAAUAGGCUUUUCACUUGGCCGGCGCCAUCUUGUCCACUCCUUACUGAACGCAGGGCUGGCAAAAAGAGAAGAGGGAUCCGUUCUAGGCAUGUUCUAGGCAUUUGGAACAUGCCUAAUCCCAGCUUCAUCUUGCUGAGCAAAAAUGAAGGAACUUGGACCCAACUUUGUUACUGUAAGAAAGGGCCUUCAUUCAUUCAAGAUGGCUUUUGUGAAGCACCUACUGUGAGUAGAUGAUUUCCUGUCAAAGACAGUUAACAAAUCCUCAGAAUAUUGCUUCAUGUACAGUUAUUGGAGAUGAGUAACUCACAUUCUCUUAAUUGUAAUGGUUCCUUGGAAAGUCAUCGUGGAAGAUGAAGGCUGGCUCAUACAAUUUCCCAGACAGGAAUUUGGCUGCCAACAGGGAAUUCUGAACAACUGAAAACUCCAGAUGAAUGCACAACAUAAUGAUGGUUAAAUUAAAAAAAAAAAAAAAAAAAAAAAAGCACGACAAACCUUGGAAAUCAAGAAAGUUCUGGAAUGAUGAAGCUGUUCAUGCCGAGACCUAAAGCGCUGGCCCAGUAUGAGUCCAUUCAAUUCAUGCCUGUGGCAAUUUUCUUGGAACUCCUUUUUAUUGUUAGUUCUCAUUUGUUUCCAUAUUUAGUGAACAUACAUUUAAUUGCAAAGCUGUUGUUAAUAAAAAUUCUUACAGUACCUCA